rnacentral:rRNA from 1 species
AUGGGUCUAAUAGCGAUCGCAACUGCUACAUCAGGUAUCGCAGCGUCGAUAAUGCCUGGAGGCCGGACUGCACACUCCAGGUUCAAAAUUUCAAUCAAGCUCACUGACAACAGCAUAUGUAGCUUCACAAAGCAGAGUGGUACGGCAGAGUUGCUUAAACAGGCGUCCUUGAUAAUUUGGGAUGAAGUUGCUAUGACAAAGCGUCAAGCAGUUGAGACACUUGAUAGAUCGCUGCAGGAUAUAAUGGAAUGUUCUUUACCAUUUGGUGGAAAGGUUGUCGUCUUUGGUGGCGAUUUCAGGCAGGUCCUCCCCGUUGUGACCCGAGGGACAAGAGCACAGAUCACUGAUGCUACACUGUUGAGAUCCUAUCUGUGGCAGAAGAUCCGCAAGAUACGCCUCACACGCAAUAUGCAGGCACAGACAUACCCUUGGUUCUCGGAAUACCUCCUACGGAUCGGCAAUGGGACGGAAGAAACAAUUGGCGACGACUAUGUGCAUCUCCCUGAAGACAUUGUGAUUGCUUAUACCAACGAUGAUGAACCUAUUAACAAGCUUAUCGAAUACUAG